UACGGGGGGAGCAAGCGUUGUUCGGAUUUACUGGGCGUAAAGGGCGCGUAGGCGGCCACCGCAAGUCAAUUGUGAAAUCUCCGGGCUCAACCCGGAAAGGUCAACUGAUACUGCGGGGCUAGAGUGCAGAAGGGGCAACUGGAAUUCUCGGUGUAGCGGUGAAAUGCGUAGAUAUCGAGAGGAACACCUGCGGCGAAGGCGGGUUGCUGGGCUGACACUGACGCUGACAGCGCGAAAGCUAGGGGAGCGAACGGG
rnacentral:rRNA from 1 species